rfam:Neotoma lepida isolate 417 scaffold_24963, whole genome shotgun sequence.
UAACUCAGUCAGUAGAGCAUGGGACUCUUAAUCCCAGGGUUGUGGGUUCGUACCCCAC